rnacentral:rRNA from 1 species
UACCAGACUCCUACGGGAGGCAGCAGUGGGGAAUAUUGGACAAUGGGGGGAACCCUGAUCCAGCGACGCCGCGUGAGUGAAGAAGUAUUUCGGUAUGUAAAGCUCUAUCAGCAGGGAAGAAGAAAUGACGGUACCUGACUAAGAAGCCCCGGCUAACUACGUGCCAGCAGCCGCGGUAAUACGUAGGGGGCAAGCGUUAUCCGGAUUUACUGGGUGUAAAGGGAGCGUAGACGGCAAUGCAAGUCCGAUGUGAAAACCCAGGGCUCAACCGUGGGAGUGCAUUGGAAACUGAAUGGCUGGAGUGCAGGAGAGGUAAGCGGAAUUCCUGGUGUAGCGGUGAAAUGCGUAGAUAUCAGGAGGAACACCAGUGGCGAAGGCGGCUUACUGGACUGUAACUGACGUUGAGGCUCGAAAGCGUGGGGAGCAAACAGGAUUAGAUACCCCCGUAGA